UUGUGCACCCCUCAGGAGGCUGUCCCGGAAGUGACACCAUAAGGCAGUCGUCUCUUCCGCCGCGGUCCCCGUUUGUCAAAGAACAAAUUGCUGUUGGUCCUACCUUGAGACGGUCUAGUGACGUGGAGGGUCCGGGUGUGGAUGCAAGCCGGGGAGCCAGGGCGCCCACCCCCUACCCGGGCCGGCCCGAAGAGUCCUGUCGGUACACUGCGUCCCCGGGAAGGAAAAACAUUCACCUGUCAACAUACAUUUAGUUGAGUCUCGCCUUAAGUCUUGCAGCUGCAGAGACCUGGCGAUUCUGAGGCUUUCAGGACUCAGUGACCUUUGAUGAUGUGGCUGUGGACUUCACCCAAGAGGAGUGGGUUAUAAUGGAUCAAACUCAGAGAGACCUCUACAGAGAUGUGAUGCUGGAGAACUACCAGAACUUGUC